rnacentral:rRNA from 1 species
UGAGUCCGAGGAGCUACGGCUCUUAAGUGAUACGAGUCAGACUUCCCAGAAAAGCCCGAACCACGUUAAUCUCUAAUUACCUGUACCCGAAACCGACACAGGUGGGUAGGUAGAGUAUACUAAGGGGCGCGAGAUAACUCUCUCUAAGGAACUCGGCAAAAUGACUCCGUAACUUCGGGAGAAGGAGUGCCUUAUUUAUAAGGUUGCAAUAACAAGAUCCAAGCAACUGUUUAUCAAAAACACAGGUCUCCGCUAAGUCGUAAGACGAUGUAUGGGGGCUGACGCCUGCCCAGUGCCAGAAGGUUAAAGAAGUUGGUUAGUGUAUGCGAAGCUGAUGACUGAAGCCCUGGUGAACGGCGGCCGUAACUAUAACGGUCCUAAGGUAGCGAAAUUCCUUGUCGGGUAAGUUCCGACCCGCACGAAAGGCGUAAUGAUUUGGAUACUGUCUCGGAGAGAGGCUCGGUGAAAUAGACUUGUCUGUGAAGAUGCGGACUACCUGCACCAGGACAGAAAGACCCUAUGAAGCUUUACUGUAACUUGAAAUUGGAAUUGGACUUUGCUUGCGCAGUAUAGGUGGGAAGCGUUGAAGAUAUUCUUGCGGGAGUAUUGGAGCUAUCAGUGAGAUACCACUCUUGUAAUGUUAGAUUUCUAACUUUGAACCAUAAUCUGGUCAAAGAACAGUUUCAGGUGGGCAGUUUGACUGGGGCGGUCGCCUCCCAAAUGGUAACGGAGGCGUACAAAGGUUUCCUCUGAACGGAUAGAAAUCGUAUCUAGAGUGUAAAGGCAUAAGGAAGCUUGACUGUGAGACCUACAAGUCGAGCAGGGACGAAAGUCGGUCUUAGUGAUCUGACGGUACUGAGUGGAAAGGCCGUCACUCAACGGAUAAAAGUUACUCUAGGAUAACAGGCUGAUCUCCCCCAAGAGUUCACAUCGACGGGAGGUUUGGCACCUCGAUGUCGGCUCAUCGCAUCCUGGGGCGGUAGUACGUCCCAAGGGUUGGGCUGUUCGCCCAUGAAAGCGGUACGCGAGCUGGGUUCAGAACGUCGUGAGACAGUUCGGUCCAUAUCCGGUGUAGGCGUUAGAAUAUUGAGAGGAGCCUUCUUUAGUACGAGAGGACCGAGAAGGACACACCGCUGGUGUACCAGUUAUCGUGCCAACGGUAAACGCUGGGUAGCUAUGUGUGGAGUGGAUAACCGCUGAAAGCAUCUAAGUGGGAAGCCCACCUCAAGAUGAGUAUUCUC